GAUGAAGAACGUAGCGAAAUGUGAUACUUGGUGUGAAUUGCAGAAUCCCGUGAACCAUCGAGUCUUUGAACGCAAGUUGCGCCCGAAGCCAUUAGGCCGAGGGCACGCCUGCCUGGGCGUCACACGUCGUUGCCCCCCCAUCUACUCCUUCGGGAUUGCGGGGGGCGGAUGAUGGCCUCCCGUGCGCCUCGUCGCGCGGUUGGCCUAAAUGCCAAGUCCUCGGCGACGCACGCCACGACAAUCGGUGGUUGCGAAACCUCGGUUGCCCGUCGUGUGCGGUCGUCACGCAUCGAGAGCUCGAAAAAAUUGCCGGGCUCCGGCUCGGCUUUCAACGCGACCCCAGGUCAGGCGGGGUUACCCGCUGAAUUUAAGCAUAUCAAUAAGCGGAGGA
rnacentral:misc_RNA from 1 species